AUGGCCAUAUCAUAUCAAAAUACCAGUUCUCAUCUCUCCAAUCACUGAAGUUAAGCAAUGUUGAACUUGAUCAGUACCUGGAUGGGUAUCCACUUGUGAAUAUCAGGUGUUGU